UCGAACGAAACUUCUUUAUCACCGAGUGCUUGCACUCACCGAUAAAGAGUUGAGUGGCGAACGGGUGAGUAACACGUGGGCAACCUGCCCAAAAGAGGGGGAUAACACUUGGAAACAGGUGCUAAUACCGCAUAACCAUAGUUACCGCAUGGUAACUAUGUAAAAGGUGGCUAUGCUACCGCUUUUGGAUGGGCCCGCGGCGCAUUAGCUAGUUGGUGGGGUAAAGGCUUACCAAGGCAAUGAUGCGUAGCCGAACUGAGAGGUUGAUCGGCCACAUUGGGACUGAGACACGGCCCAAACUCCUACGGGAGGCAGCAGUAGGGAAUCUUCCACAAUGGGCGAAAGCCUGAUGGAGCAACGCCGCGUGGGUGAAGAAGGUCUUCGGAUCGUAAAACCCUGUUGUUAGAGAAGAAAGUGCGUGAGAGUAACUGUUCACGUUUCGACGGUAUCUAACCAGAAAGCCACGGCUAACUACGUGCCAGCAGCCGCGGUAAUACGUAGGUGGCAAGCGUUAUCCGGAUUUAUUGGGCGUAAAGGGAACGCAGGCGGUCUUUUAAGUCUGAUGUGAAAGCCUUCGGCUUAACCGGAGUAGUGCAUUGGAAACUGGGAGACUUGAGUGCAGAAGAGGAGAGUGGAACUCCAUGUGUAGCGGUGAAAUGCGUAGAUAUAUGGAAGAACACCAGUGGCGAAAGCGGCUCUCUGGUCUGUAACUGACGCUGAGGUUCGAAAGCGUGGGUA
rnacentral:rRNA from 1 species